rnacentral:rRNA from 1 species
CCCCUAGAUGUUCUGGGCCGCACGCGCGCUACACUGAACAGUUCAACAAGUCUUAACCUUGGCCGAUAGGUCUGGGUAAUCUUUGAGCGCUGUUCGUGAUUGGGAUAGACCUUUGCAAUUAUGGGUCUUCAACGAGGAAUUCCUAGUAAACGCAAGUCAUCAGCUUGCAUUGAUUACGUCCCUGCCCUUUGUACACACCGCCCGUCGCACCUACCGAUUGAAUGGUCCGGUGAAAUCUCGGGACGGCGGCUUGGUCGCUUGCGUCCGACUGCUGAAACUUGAUUAAACCAUAUCAUUUAGAGGAAGGUGAAGUCGUAACA